GAUGAACGCCGGCGGUGUGCCUAAUACAUGCAAGUCGAACGCGUUGGCCCAAUUGAUUGAUGGUGCUUGCACCUGAUUGAUUUUGGUCGCCAACGAGUGGCGGACGGGUGAGUAACACGUAGGUAACCUGCCCAGAAGCGGGGGACAACAUUUGGAAACAGAUGCUAAUACCGCAUAACAGCGUUGUUCGCAUGAACAACGCUUAAAAGAUGGCUUCUCGCUAUCACUUCUGGAUGGACCUGCGGUGCAUUAGCUUGUUGGUGGGGUAACGGCCUACCAAGGCGAUGAUGCAUAGCCGAGUUGAGAGACUGAUCGGCCACAAUGGGACUGAGACACGGCCCAUACUCCUACGGGAGGCAGCAGUAGGGAAUCUUCCACAAUGGGCGCAAGCCUGAUGGAGCAACACCGCGUGAGUGAAGAAGGGUUUCGGCUCGUAAAGCUCUGUUGUUAAAGAAGAACACGUAUGAGAGUAACUGUUCAUACGUUGACGGUAUUUAACCAGAAAGUCACGGCUAACUACGUGCCAGCAGCCGCGGUAAUACGUAGGUGGCAAGCGUUAUCCGGAUUUAUUGGGCGUAAAGAGAGUGCAGGCGGUUUUCUAAGUCUGAUGUGAAAGCCUUCGGCUUAACCGGAGAAGUGCAUCGGAAACUGGAUAACUUGAGUGCAGAAGAGGGUAGUGGAACUCCAUGUGUAGCGGUGGAAUGCGUAGAUAUAUGGAAGAACACCAGUGGCGAAGGCGGCUACCUGGUCUGCAACUGACGCUGAGACUCGAAAGCAUGGGUAGCGAACAGGAUUAGAUACCCUGGUAGUCCAUGCCGUAAACGAUGAGUGCUAGGUGUUGGAGGGUUUCCGCCCUUCAGUGCCGGAGCUAACGCAUUAAGCACUCCGCCUGGGGAGUACGACCGCAAGGUUGAAACUCAAAGGAAUUGACGGGGGCCCGCACAAGCGGUGGAGCAUGUGGUUUAAUUCGAAGCUACGCGAAGAACCUUACCAGGUCUUGACAUCUUGCGCCAACCCUAGAGAUAGGGCGUUUCCUUCGGGAACGCAAUGACAGGUGGUGCAUGGUCGUCGUCAGCUCGUGUCGUGAGAUGUUGGGUUAAGUCCCGCAACGAGCGCAACCCUUGUUACUAGUUGCCAGCAUUAAGUUGGGCACUCUAGUGAGACUGCCGGUGACAAACCGGAGGAAGGUGGGGACGACGUCAGAUCAUCAUGCCCCUUAUGACCUGGGCUACACACGUGCUACAAUGGACGGUACAACGAGUCGCGAACUCGCGAGGGCAAGCAAAUCUCUUAAAACCGUUCUCAGUUCGGACUGCAGGCUGCAACUCGCCUGCACGAAGUCGGAAUCGCUAGUAAUCGCGGAUCAGCAUGCCGCGGUGAAUACGUUCCCGGGCCUUGUACACACCGCCCGUCACACCAUGAGAGUUUGUAACACCCAAAGUCGGUGGGGUAACCUUUUAGGAGCCAGCCGCCUAAGGUGGGACAGAUGAUUAGGGUG
rnacentral:rRNA from 2 species